CUCUUGAACAAACAUGUUAAGGUGCUAAGAAAAGUGCAUCAAACAUAAUAUUUACAUCAAAGUCAUACAAAAUUGGCUAGGGCUUUCAACUCUAGCCCCAACAAACUAACUACUCACUCAUAAUCAAAUACAUAAGCUUCAACAUGUUUAUGAACAUCAAACUAAAAAAUAGGGAUAGAGAAGUGACUAGUGAUGAUCAAAAUGAGGAUAGUGUAGAUGAACUCAUGGAAGUUUUGUCAUGGUGAUGAUGAUUCCUCAAGUGAUGCUAGACUCCUCUCAUUCUUCUUCAAAGAUUGGUGAUGGAAUAUGAGAUGUAGAAAUAAUCAAGUGGUGAAAUAGUAGAAUUGUGAAGCUUUAUGUAUAUGAAAUAGAAUGGUUAGAUGGAAAAGAUGAUGAAUUUGGUGGUGGUGAUAGUGGAGGUUAUGAAUAUAUGGUGGUGGUGAUGGAGAGAAAAACAUGUAAUGGAGUGGUAUGGGUGAUGCCUUCAGAGUUUGAUGAAGGGAUGCUUAUAUAGAG
rnacentral:lncRNA from 1 species